rnacentral:rRNA from 1 species
UACAGGGGGUGCAAACGUUGCUCGGAAUUACUGGGCGUAAAGGGCGCGUAGGCGGACAGUUUAGUCAGAGGUGAAAGCCCAGGGCUCAACCUUGGAAUUGCCUUUGAUACUGGCUGUCUUGAGUUCGGGAGAGGUGAGUGGAAUGCCGAGUGUAGAGGUGAAAUUCGUAGAUAUUCGGCGGAACACCAGUGGCGAAGGCGACUCACUGGCCCGAUACUGACGCUGAGGCGCGAAAGCGUGGGGAGCAAACAGG